UUAGUGUUUUCAGCUGCAAAAUGAGGAUAAUAAUGGUUCCAAACUCACUGGGUGAUAGGAAGAUUCAAUGGAAUAAUGUAUGUAUACAACAUUAGCAGAGUGCCUGGUAUGGAAGACGGCUCAAUUGAAGAAAAAUCAGGGGCAGGGGUGGGGAUAAAUAAGACCUGACAUGACAAGAACUGACUAGGGAGUAUGAGGAGGGUGCCGCUUAGGUGACUAGAAGGCUGAAGCCAAGAAAAGGUGAGAGAUCCAGGAAGUCUUUGCAUAAGAGACCACGUUUCAGCUGUAGCUCAUAGGUCAGGUCAAAAUCUGCCAGACAGUCAAGCUGGAAGGAGAAUCCCAGGAAGAAAGAAUGGUAUGUGCAAAUAAAGAAAGGCGUGAAACAGUAUGUGUAUAUCCCUGACUAACUUAGCACAGGCUCCGGACGCGCAGGCUCAGCGGCCAUGGCUCAGGGGCCCAGUCGCUCCGCGGCAUGUGGGAUCUUCCCGGACCGGGGCACGAACCCGUGUCCCCUGCAUCGGCAGGCGGACUCUCAACCACUGCGCCACCAGGGAAGCCCGACCCAUGUGUUUUUAACCUCAAAAUGCAUUUGUACCCAAACCCCUGGGACCUCUACCAAACUGACAUCAAGACGAGAAGCUUCUCACAAAGAAUUACACACACAUGCAGAGUGGAUGUAGACUCACAGAGCUCCUGGACUGGUGGCUUACCUCUGUAUUUGGUCUCAAUCCAAAUACUUUAGAAUUCAUUGUCUUACACCUGUCUUCUCUCACCCAUUUAUAUUAAUGCUGAUGGGCAUUUGAGUUUGCAACUCUUAUUAUACCUCUGCCACAGAACAAUGAACGAUAAUCACAAUGAUAACUAUAACCACAGCAACGACCCUCCUAUUUGUAUAAUGAUUUAGAUCCAUGGACCGUCAGCAUCAGCAGCACCUGGAAGCUUGUUAGAAAUGCAGAAUCUCAGGCUCCCUGAACCAGAAUCUGCAUUUUAUUUAUUUAAUUUUGGCUGCGUUGGGUCUCUGUUGCUGCGUGCGGGCUUUCUCUAGUGGCGGCGAGCGGGGGCUACUCUUUGUUGCGGUGUGCAAGCUUCUCAUUGCGAUGGCUUCCCUUGUUGUGGAGCCUGGGCCCUAGAUGCACAGGCUUCAGUAGUUGUGACAUGCGGGCUCUAGAAUGCAGGCUCAGUAGUUGUGACGCACAGGCUUAGUUGCUCCGCGGCAUGUGGGAUCUUCCUGGACCAGGGAUUGAACCUGCGUCCCCUGCAUUGGCAGGAGGAUUCUUAACCACUGCGCCACCAGGGAAGUCCCAGAAUCUACAUUUUAACAAGAUCCCAGGUGAUUCGAUGCACACUAAAGCUUGAGAAGCACUUGUUUAGUAGACCAUUAACAACUGCCAUGGGAACCUGGUCAAAGUUCUUGGGCCUCUGGAUUACCUGCCAUGUUUCCUGUUUUGUCACCUUCUAUCAUUGACUCUAUACCCUAUAUCCUAAAGAGCCUAUGAGUCUGUUUCAGGGACAGCAAAAAAGCUGGGAACUCGAGCAGCGUAUCUGACUUUGUAGGCAGUCUGGGCGGGGAGAGGUGAUGGUAGCUAGAAGGGAGAGACACGCAUGGACCCACAUGGGGCCUACGAGAAACUCAGAAUGCUCCCCAAUAACCAUUCCCUAGUAUAUUUAGAUAUGACCUGGUUACCGGAUACUAAAGCAAGGUUAAGAACACCAAUGGUUAUGGAAUGAAAUCAGGUUGUUGAACACAAGCACAGAGCAAGUGUUUUAGCUAUAAAGAUUAACCAGACAUUUCAGUGUUCUCUGCUAUCAAGUUGUCAUCCAAUCUCAGCUUGUACUCCAGUGACAGGGAGCUCAUUACCUCAUAAGGUAUCUAUUCUGAUUCAUGGGUGACCAGUUCUGUUAGAAAGUCAAUUCCUUGUGUUGAGCUGAAAUAUGCUUUCCCACGGUUUCUAUCCAUUUAUGGGUCCUGGCUCUGCCCCUUGGGGCCUGUACCCCAUCUGCUCUUGCUGUCCUAUAACAGCCCUUCAGAGGUAUGGAAACCACACUGCCUUCGGUCUUCUCUUCUCCAAGCUAAACAGCUCCAGCUCCUUCAACUGCUCCUCAUGGGACCUGGGUUCCAGUUCUCUCCCCAGCCGUCUGGGCUCCCCUUAACUGGAACCCUAGCAAGAUUAAGUGCAAAUGUGCAAAAAGAGAGAUCAAGAGGCUAAGCAUCAGCCUAAACCCAUGGCUGAAGAUAGGGAUCCAAGUGCACGUCCAAGAGGCUCGGCUUAGAGUCUAACAGCAGGCCUUUAGUCAGUUGAAUAAUAAAGGACUUUUGUUCUUUUGAGAACAUUUUUAGAGCCUGCUACUUCCCACCAGAGGCAAAACAAGGCAGGUUUUAAGUAGUUAGUCCUUGAUGCAGUACUGGUUCCUAUCCACCUGGAGAGGGUAUACCAGCACUUUUAUCUCUCUGCCACUCCCACUAUCCCCACUGCGCCUUCCUUCACUACCUCUGUAGGAUGUAGCUCCAGUACACCUGGUCAGUGACUGUCUUUGCCAGCCAGGAACCCUAGUAAGACCAGCCAGGAGAGGGUACAGGCCUCAUUUUGCCACCGUUCUCCUGUCUCCUCGUGAGCUCUUCUCUGGUCACAAGACUGUCUUUUCUACUCUCUGGGUGAUUUUCAUGAAUCUGCUUGAACAUCCCAUUGCCUAAGCUACUUUUCAUAGAUCAUACUUUCAGUGGCCUUGGGCCCCCCCAACUACGGUGAAUAAUAAAAAUAGCAACAUUAAUAGCUAAUAUUUAUUGAGCAUUAAGUGUUUAUUAUGUUUCAAGCAUUUUACAUACAUUAACUUAUUUAAUCCUCACAACAACCCUACGAAGUGGGUACUAUCUAUUAUUAGCCCCAUUUUCCAGAUGAGUAAAUUGAGGCAUGGAAAGGUUAACUAACUUGCCAAAGGUGGCAUGGGAGAUAUAUAGUAGUAUGUAGAAUCUAGCUCCAAAGCCCACAUGCUUAGUCACUGUCACUAUAGAGGCAAAAUUUCCCCAGUGUAUCCACAGACCACCUAUAUCAGAAUCACUUGGAGAGCCUAUUAAAAAGUUCCAAUCCCAGGGAAAACUAUGCCUUCAUGCUGUCUCACAGGGUGGAUGGACGCAUCUUUCCUUCAUCUUCUGAGGCCUGUGGAUCUCAUAAGCCAGUAUGUCUCAAACUCAGGGGUUAUCAGAAACCCCUUCAGAGCUUGUUAAAAACACAGGCACUGGGGCUCCACCUCCAGAGAGUCUGAUUCAGCAGGCCUGAGGUGGGAUCCAGAAAUGAGCAAUUGCCAUCAUUUUAACUGUCAUAAACACUGAGUAAUCCUCACUGCAGGUUUUCUCCAGCUUUCUUUACCCACUCUGGGCCUCCUUCUGGCUCAGCAAAGGCUCUCACCAUCUCCUGAUGUGAGGCUCUCUCGGCUCUCCACUGCACAGACCUCUCCUUUCUUCAGAUCUUAGAAGGUGUCUUUCCCUGGGCAAAACUGUACAAGUAUGGGUUCUUGAUCCAUCCCCUUCUGGCCUCCAGGGGAGGAUCGAGCACUUUUGCUCUCUUUCCCCUACUCUCUCUGGCUUCUCUCCUCGAACAAUAAAUGCACUCAACCCUGCCUAGAACAACAGAAAAAAAAAAACCUUUCUGCUUUCUACAUGAAUUACUGUUCUCUCUUCUCAUUCACUAUACACUUUUAGAAAGAGUACUUUAUAACCUCCUUGGACAAGUUACUUAACCACUCUUUACAUUAGUUUUCUCAUCUGUAAAAUGAGGAUGAUAGUACAUACCUCAUAGGAUAAGGAAGGAUUAAAUUUAUGAAUAUAUGCAAAGUGCUUUGAGUAAUUCCUGGCACGUGGUAAGUGUUCAAUAUAAUAAUUAUCAGCCAUGUACAUGCUAGCUAUUAUGAUUAUUCAGAAUAGUGAACAAUCUAGUCUCAGUCCUCAUCCUGAAAUUCUGUGACCUUCAAUUUUGAUUGACUUCCCUCUUUUUGUUUUUAAUAUUAUUUACUGAAGAAUAACACACAUACAGAAAAGUGCCCAUUUCAUAAGGGCACAACUCCAUGAGUUUUUUCAAGUGAAUAUACCUGUAUUACUAGUGCUCAGAUUAAGAAAUACAGUAGUAGUAUCAUUACCCUCAGAAGCCUCCCCCCACUCUCUUAGACACUUCUCCCAUUGUAAAAAUUUAUUUUUAACAUUUUUUGUUUUUAUAUGACACCUAAAAUUUUAGAAGGACAAUUAAUUUUCUUGUAAAUUACCUAUUUACUUGUAUGGUCUCAUUUUACAAAUUACUUUGCAGCUUCAUUUUUCUAAUGAGUACUUAAAAUAUGAAGCUACUUUUAGGAAGACAAUGAAUUAAAAAAUUUUUAAUUUGAAUUAUUCAUUAUAAUGAUUUUCUGUGUUUCAAGAAAGAUUUUAACUCUUAAUCAUGUGUAUGGAGGUGGCACUACAAUACUGAAAUUUUUAAAAUUUAACAUUUAGAGCAAGCCUGUUAGGGAAAUUUAUAUUCACUGGAAAAAAAUCAUGGCUAAUUGUUUUUUCAUUAAAAAAAGAAAAGCAUUUGCAAUUUUUUGUUUGUUUGUUUUUUGCGGUACGCGGGCCUCUCACCGCUGUGGCCUCUCCCGUCGCGGAGCACAGGCUCCGGACGCGCAGGCCCAGCGGCCACGGCUCACGGGCCCAGCCGCUCCGCGGCAUGUGGGAUCCUCCCGGACCGGAGCACGAACCCGCAUCCCCUGCAUCGGCAGGCGGACCCCCAAGCACUGCGCCACCAGGGAAGCCCCAUUUGCAAUUUUAAAUGAUUUUUUUCUUAAUUGAAAAAACGUCUUUUGUUUGCAGAAAAAAAUACUACAAAAUGAUUUUAAUGAGUCUCACAGUAUCUAGGAAUCUUUACACUGAUUUGUUUUUAUUGAAAUACAAUAUAAAAUAAAACUGUAAUAUAUGCUCACUGUCAAUAAUCUGGAGAAAUUAAAUUCCAUAAUUCCACUGGGAGAAAACCUCUGUUAGCAUUUUGUGUUUAUUCUUGCCAUGCCUAUUCUACUCAAAUAGAACUGUUAAACAAAGAAACAACAGGCCCAAAAUGAAGUCACUUGUGCUAUGCCCCACAUCAGUAAACCAAGACUUAAUACGUAACCAAAUUGCAGUUUUAACCCAUCCCAUGAAAGUGACUUUAACCAGUCAGUCUGGAAUUUCCUGGCCAGCACUAGUGAGGUAGUCUGCCACAUAGACCCCUGCCUUCCCCAAAAGGAAGGUGACCUUUGUCACCUGAAAUAACCCUUUAUUUUGUUUAUGACUUCUUUGUCCCACCCCUUCUCUGCCUUUCAAAACCUUCCAUUUUGUACAAUUCCUUGGAGCUCCUCUCUACUUGCUAGAUGGGAUGCUGCCCGAUUUAUGAAUUGCUGAAUAAAGCCAAUUGAUCUUCAAAUUUA